AAAAAAAAGAGAGCUCACCCCUCCCAACCUCGCUCGAUCCAUGGAGGAAGUCCUCCCCGUCUCGAAACCCUAGCGCCGCCGCGGUCCGUCUCCUCUAGAACAGGCCAGCACCGUCCCUCUCCUCCCUCGCCACUCCUCUUCCCACCUGCGAACCCGACCACGGCCUCGUGCCGCGGCGGCCGUGACCUCGUCGCCAAACCCUAGGUACUCCCCAAGCGUGAGCCAUGGCAGCUACUGUACGAGCAGCUACUGGAGGACCACGUCGCCUGCUUCUACGUCGUCUCCCCGGGCGAACAGCUUCCCCCACAUGGACGCGCAGAUCGCGGCCAGGCCGCCCCCGCUCGUCGCUGCAACCGAGACUGGGAGCGGUCUCUCUCAUAGAUGACGACGUCUCCACCACCACCCGUCGUGUCCGCUCCUCCCUCCGAUGCGGUCACCGUUUCCAGCCACUUCACCGUCGCCAAGGUGAGCAAGGUACACGGAUGAUCUCUGACUUUUCCUGCUUCUCGAGUUCAGAUUAGUUGGUGCUCGAAAUUCCACAGUCCGGGCAGCAGGUUUGGGUACUCGGAAUUGUAAUAGCUAUGUUUCUAUGCUUAAUGGAACAUACAAUUGGUUGCUCACAUGGUGUUUCUGGCAUUGUGUUUUUCAAAUUUUAAGUGCAUAUAUCUAGAGCUCAAAGUAAUAUGGGUUGAGGACAUUUAUUAAAUGAACACCUAUAUUGCUAUAUCAGUUAUAGAUGCAAAUUGUUAAGCAAAGUGCCCUUCUAAAUGGGUCUAUGUUGCUUAGCUUGAGUGCUUCUAAUAUACCUGCAUACUACAUGUAUCAUGGAGAAACCUAAGUGCUAAGACUAAGGUGCUCUUGUUCACACCUACUGUGUUGUUUGAUACAUUUCUUCAUGAAGUCAGGAUCUCACCAUGCCUUCUUUCUUACCAAUGGGGGUGUAGGUAGCUAAUUAUGAUGUAGUGAUGUUAACUCAUCAAGCAAAUCAAUGAUUAUGGGCAUUACAAACUACUAAUUUCAUGAAUGUCCCACAGAUUUUAGCAGCAAGAGACACUAUGUACUCUUGUAAAUAGCGAGUGUGUCUGAUGUUGUUAAAUAUUUCAAAUUGUUAAAUCAUGCCUAUAUUGUACUCUCAAAUAGUGGACCUGUUAUCUCACGUGAGUUUUGGGUAAAUGUUAACAUCACUAUUAUUUCCAAUAAUUCCUAAGAAUCAAUGUAGGUAUGCUUUGUUACUGGCUCAAGUAAAGCAGCUGCUUCUGCAGUUAUCUGUUUUAUUUUUAUGUUGCUUCUUUCAAACAGGACAUGCUUUAAGCUUUGCUUGCAUACAUUUCUGAGUCUUUUGUUAUUCUCUAGUAGUAGCUUUCAAUUGCUUCAUGGAGUCUUUUGUUAUUCAAACAGAUCAUGUCUAAUGUUUAGUUAUUUUGUUUCCCAAUGUUCUCUGCCUAGAGCCUGCCUUCAUGUUAUUUGGAUGCAUUUUCCUCUUCAAUUUUAGAAUGAUUCACUUAUAUAAUUUUGUUAACAUUGCAGCUGUCACAGUCUAUCUGACUCAAUACAAGUUUGUGUUGUUAUCGUGCUGACAUAUUAAAGAACAUAUUAUUUUCCUGCAUGCAUCAAUAAAUAAUAAGCUGUAAACAACAAUAUGUCCAUUGGCCAGCAGAACACCUCAACUACUUGAGUGCUACCAGUGACAGAACACCUCAGCAAGGUCUAUUGUGUUUAUUAUGCUACUUGAAAACUUGAGGUUAUAUGAUGUAUACAUGCAAGUGUGCCUGCUGAUGCGAGCCAAUUGAAGAGGAGAAGCCAUAGAGGAAGGAUUAGGGAAGAAGAGAUGUUCCACGCCCUUAGCUACUGCCUUCCCAACACCAACUUAGGCUACAUCAGCAAGAGUGAAGUGGUGCAGAAGGGAAGAUGGACUUGUGGUCAGCUUUUUUUCACCAGUGGUCAAAGAAUUGGAAGGUAGACCACGUUUUAAUGAGAUUUUUCAAGAAGACAAGUAUCCAACAGAAUUCCCUUACAAAGUGAGAUCUGUAGUGUGUCAUGCAAUUCAAUUUGUCUACUCAGAGAACACUAGCAGGAAAAAAAGGGUGCUUGAGAUUUUUGCGAAUGGGUGGUGCUUCUUAUAUAGUCAUGAACUGUUGAAUACAGAGUAUUUAUAUUUUGGUACGUUGUAGAACAGAUCUGUGAUCUGAGCAUUUGCUUAGUUAUUCUGCGUUUGGGUCUUUGUACGAGAGUGAUUGUGGGAAUUGACGGUCAUUGCAACACAGACACCUGAAUGAGGCUUCUGCACUCAUAAUAGCUGAAAGCUGGUCAUCAGGUAUUGUUGAUUAAUUAUCUGUACCUCUAGACACCUGUACCUGGCUAACAUAGUGUUACUGUGCGGGAGAGGUUCUUGCUGGGUCCAGUAUAUGAUUAGCUCCACACCAAAAUACUCUUGCAGGGGAGUUACUCGAGUAGCACAGUUUCAAGUUCCAAGUUUGAGCGCAAUGCUUCUUGUGCUUCUAUAUGGUCCUGACACUCAUCUAAAGUGAGUGUCCAUAUAUCAUGCCAUCGUAAUAAUAUAACUGCUGAAGAGCCAUUCAUCCCUUUAAUGCCCAAAAACUUGAAAUAAUCUUUUGAUGAUGAUUUUAUUGGUUCUGUAAAGGUAGGUAUGCUCACCUGAAGAGGUGGUUUUGAUAUGUUGAUCCAUAGUUCAGUAUUUGCACUAAAUACGAUUAGCACCCAACACCCACUCUUAACUAUAUUUCUGUUUCACUUCUGUCUAUAUGCAGAUCACACGGCUCAUGAUAUAUACUGAGGAUUUCAAGGCUCGGAAACAGAGUUUGUCGAUAUUUUCAGUGAUGGUCGGAACAUAAAUGAAAAUGGAGGUCCAGAAUUUGAAGUAAUGCCAUGUUUCACCGCUGGAGCUGAUGUUAUUGAUGCAGUAAAGGCGAAGCAGUGUAUCUCUAGCUCCAGUGAGCUCUCAGCAUGGAAACUGAAGAUGAGAAUCUUAGGAAGAAGAGAAAAAGUUCAAAAUGGCAUGCUCUGUUAUGCAUCACCAAUACAGGCAAUAUGACACCUUGUCAAACAAAAUAAAGGCUUCAGGCUACUGUGAGAAGGCCCUGUAGAGCAAGAAGGGUGAUGAUAUGAAUUUUUUUUUUUGCUUCUUUAUUUGAGGAGCUUGAGAUCAUCAGCGAAUCUGAAAGUGAACUAGACGCUAACAACUGGCGUUGUUUUGUGAAUCAAAUCUUUUGCGGUCCUGCAACACUGGUUUACAUGCAUUUUCUAUAGAUGAUCCUCUCAUAGUUACAGCAUCGAAGGCUUGCCACCCGUUUAUCCGCUCUUUGACGUACAACAACGCCCUUGGGCGAAAGCAGUUAUGAAAUAGUGUAGCAACUAACUGAAGCAUAAGGCCGAAAACAUGCAAGUGUGAAUAAAGGUCACACUAUGAAACACAUUUUUUGAAGAAUCAGCACCAAACCAUGCUGUAAUUCUGUAUAGUACGUGUAUUGCUUAUUCAAUACCAAGUUUUCCAGUUCAAAUUUCUAUAAAUAGCAGCUUUGGACUGAUUUUCAAACAAGUCAAUUGAAGGAUAAGAAAACUACAUAGGCAGGCUCCAAGCAAAUGUGCAUGUAUUUUUUUGUCACUUUAUCUUUAAUAUAACUUGUAAUAUAUGCUUGUCCGCCGUUAGGCGGGCAAGCGCGCGGCAAGCCGCGCUUUCCUACCUAGUAAUAUACAGUUGGAUUGAACUUUGGUACUAUUCAAAAUAUUGUUCGCCUUUUUCGUUCUCUCUGUAACUACUUUUUUGGGGCCUGCAUCCAUCCAUAUAUUCAUAAUAUGCUCGCAAGCUGCAUAUUCUGAACUUCCUAGUUACAGGUUGACCUGCAUCCAUCCAUAUAUUCAUAUUUAAACACAUUUUUUAAUGUUCGACAUAUCCAAGAAUAACUGCAGAUUGCGAUGGGUGCUAGUAUCACGUCACUCGGCUCCUUCCUGUGGAAGAUGUUCUUGAAGGAGCAUGAGGAAUACAAGGAUUAGUAUGAGUUUGUAGUUCAAAAGAAUGAUAAGCUGGAGGAGCAGAUGGAUUCUCUCUCUAGCUGAUGGUUCCCUGGGAAGAGGGGAAGCGGUGUUGGGCGUGCAGGACCUUGCCGAAGACGCGGGGAAGAAAGGAGGAUGGUGUUGGGGGAGCAGGACCUUUCCGAAGACGCGGGGAAGAAAGGAGGCCUUGCUGGGCGAGCAGGAUCUUGCAGGCGACGUGAAGAGGGGUCGUGCUGGGCGAGCUGGACCUUGCCGGCAAGGUGUGCUGCUGGGUCUGGCAGCGAGCAGGAAACGUUGUUCCAGGUUUGAAUACGUGUAUGUGACAGUGUAACUAGUAAUUUGUAGUGGUCCUACAUGUGUUGUUGUGGUAUGUACAUGUAUACCAAGUUUGAAUACAUUUCUGUUAUCAUUGGAUUAUGUGCAUGCAUUACUGUUUAUAAUGCAUGUAUUGGUA